GAUGAACGCUAGCGGCGUGCCUAACACAUGCAAGUCGAACGUGAGAGGGUACUUGUAUCCUUGAAAGUGGCGGACGGGUGAGUAAGACGUAGGUGACCUGCCUUGAAGUGGGGGAUAACCAUUGGAAACGAUGGCUAAUACCGCAUAAGCUGGUGACGAUGGGAAUCGUUAUCAGGAAAGCUUUAGUGCUUUGAGAGGGGCCUACGGCCGAUUAGCUAGUUGGUGAGGUAAAGGCUCACCAAGGCGAUGAUCGGUAGCUGGUCUGAGAGGACGAUCAGCCACACGGGAACUGAGACACGGUCCCGACUCCUACGGGGGGCAGCAGUGAGGAAUAUUCGGCAAUGGGGGCAACCCUGACCGAGCAACGCCGCGUGGAGGAUGACGGUUUUCGGAUUGUAAACUCCUUUUCUUCAGGGAAGAGCGAGGACGGUACCUGGGGAAUAAGUCACGGCUAACU
rnacentral:rRNA from 1 species